GACGAACGCUGGCGGCGUGCCUAAUACAUGCAAGUCGAACGCUGAAGGAGGAGCUUGCUCUUCUGGAUGAGUUGCGAACGGGUGAGUAACGCGUAGGUAACCUGCCUGGUAGCGGGGGAUAACUAUUGGAAACGAUAGCUAAUACCGCAUAAGAGUAGAUGUUGCAUGACAUUUACUUAAAAGGUGCAAUUGCAUCACUACCAGCUGGACCUGCGUUGUAUUAGCUAGUUGGUGGGGUAACGGCUUACCAAGGCGACGAUACAUAGCCGACCUGAGAGGGGGGUCGGCCACACUGGGAAUGAGACACGGCCCAGAACCCUAAGGGAGGCAGCAGGAGGGAAAUUUCGGCAAAGGACGGAAGUCUGAACGGGCAAAGCCGCGUGAGGGAAGAAGGUUCUCGGAUCGUAAAGAUCCGUUGUAAGAGAAGAACGAGUGUGAGAGUGGAAAGUUCACACUGUGACGGUAUCUUACCAGAAAGGGACGGCUAACUACGUG
rnacentral:rRNA from 1 species